GUGGCUGUAGCUCAGGGGUAGAGCACCUGGUUGUGGUCCAGGAUGUCGCGGGUUCAAAUCCCGUCAGCCACCCCA
rnacentral:tRNA from 1 species